UCUAAGUACCCCGAGGAAAAGAAAUCAACCGAGAUUCCCCCAGUAGCGGCGAGCGAACGGGGAGGAGCCCAGAGCCUGAAUCAGCAUGUGUGUUAGUGGAAGCGUCUGGAAAGGCGCGCGAUACAGGGUGACAGCCCCGUACACAAAAGCGCAUGUGCUGUGAGCUCGAUGAGUAGGGCGGGACACGUGGUAUCCUGUCUGAAUAUGGGGGGACCAUCCUCCAAGGCUAAAUACUCCUGACUGACCGAUAGUGAACCAGUACCGUGAGGGAAAGGCGAAAAGAACCCCGGCGAGGGGAGUGAAAAAGAACCUGAAACCGUGUACGUACAAGCAGUGGGAGCACAGGUUUACCUGUGUGACUGCGUACCUUUUGUAUAAUGGGUCAGCGACUUAUAUUCUGUAGCAAGGUUAACCGAAUAGGGGAGCCGGAGGGAAACCGAGUCUUAAUUGGGCGUUAAGUUGCAGGGUAUAGACCCGAAACCCGGUGAUCUAGCCAUGGGCAGGUUGAAGGUUGGGUAACACUAACUGGAGGACCGAACCGACUAAUGUUGAAAAAUUAGCGGAUGACCUGUGGCUGGGGGUGAAAGGCCAAUCAAACCGGGAGAUAGCUGGUUCUCCCCGAAAGCUAUUUAGGUAGCGCCUCGUGAAUUCAUCUCCGGGGGUAGAGCACUGUUUCGGCUAGGGGGCCAUCCCGGCUUACCAACCCGAUGCAAACUGCGAAUACCGGAGAAUGUUAUCACGGGAGACACACGGCGGGUGCUAACGUCCGUCGUGAAGAGGGAAACAACCCAGACCGCCAGCUAAGGUCCCAAAGUCAUGGUUAAGUGGGAAACGAUGUGGGAAGGCCCAGACAGCCAGGAUGUUGGCUUAGAAGCAGCCAUCAUUUAAAGAAAGCGUAAUAGCUCACUGGUCGAGUCGGCCUGCGCGGAAGAUGUAACGGGGCUAAACCAUGCACCGAAGCUGCGGCAGCGACGCUUAUGCGUUGUUGGGUAGGGGAGCGUUCUGUAAGCCUGUGAAGGUGGCCUGUGAGGGUUGCUGGAGGUAUCAGAAGUGCGAAUGCUGACAUAAGUAACGAUAAAGCGGGUGAAAAGCCCGCUCGCCGGAAGACCAAGGGUUCCUGUCCAACGUUAAUCGGGGCAGGGUGAGUCGACCCCUAAGGCGAGGCCGAAAGGCGUAGUCGAUGGGAAACGGGUUAAUAUUCCCGUACUUGGUGUUACUGCGAAGGGGGGACGGAGAAGGCU
rnacentral:rRNA from 1 species